UGGGGAAUAUUGCACAAUGGGGGAAACCCUGAUGCAGCGACGCCGCGUGAACGAAGAAGGUAUUCGUAUCGUAAAGUUCUGUCCUAUGGGAAGAUAAUGACAGUACCAUAGAAGAAAGCUCCGGCUAAAUACGUGCCAGCAGCCGCGGUAAUACGUAUGGAGCGAGCGUUGUCCGGAAUUAUUGGGCGUAAAGGGUACGCAGGCGGUUUAAUAAGUCGAAUGUUAAAGAUCGGGGCUCAACCCCGUAAAGCAUUGGAAACUGAUAAACUUGAGUAGUGGAGAGGAAAGUGGAAUUCCUAGUGUAGUGGUGAAAUACGUAGAUAUUAGGAGGAAUACCAGUAGCGAAGGCGACUUUCUGGACACAAACUGACGCUGAGGUACGAAAGCGUGAGGAGCAAACAGG
rnacentral:rRNA from 1 species